rnacentral:rRNA from 1 species
UACAUGUGGGGCAAGCGUUGUUCGGAAUUACUGGGCAUAAAGGGUGCGUAGGUGGCUUGUUAAGUCAGGGGUGAAAGUUUUCGGCCCAACCGGAAAAUGGCCUUUGAUACUGGCGAGCUCGAGUGCGUGAGGGGUAACCGGAACGAGCAGUGUAGUGGUGAAAUGCGUAGAUAUUGCUCGGAAGGCCAACGGCGAAGGCAGGUUACUGGUGCGCAACUGACACUGAGGCACGAAAGCGUGGGGAGCAAACAGG